CAAUAGCGUAUAUUAAAGUUGUUGCAGUUAAAAAGCUCGUAGUUGGAUUUCUGGUUGAAGCGACCGGUCGGGCGUUGAUUCGUCUGCACUGGAGUCGGUUUUGGCCAUCCUCUAGGAAAGUGCGUCUGGUAUUAAGUUAUCGGGCGUAUGAUCCUGGUCUUUUACUGUGAAAAAAUUAGAGUGUUUAAAGCAGGCCUUCGCCUUGAAUACAUUAGCAUGGAAUAAUAAGAUAGGACUUUGGUCUAUUUUGUUGGUUUGCAGACCGAAGUAAUGAUUAAUAGGGAUAGUUGGGGGUAUUUAUAUUCCGAUGUCAGAGGUGAAAUUCUUAGAUUUUCGGAAGAUAAGCUUAUGCGAAAGCAUUUACCAAGGAUGUUUUCAUUA
rnacentral:rRNA from 1 species